UACGGCCAUAUCACGUUGAAACAUUGGUUCUGGUAUGAUCACCAAAGUUAAGCAACAUCGAGCCUGGUCAGUAUCUAGAUGGGUGACCAUUUGGGAAUACUAGGUGCUGUAAG